AUGGGAGAUGAGGUUGACGCUUUCUCGGAGGAGCUUCGACGGCGGCCAGAAGUAAGGAUCAUCAACAAGUAUGCCGUCCUUGCGGCGUACGUCAGAAUUACCCUGAAAUCCAUCGGGGCCUUGCUGCUUUUGUGGGCCACCGUGGUCCUACUCGGCGGCUUCGUCUCGUCGAUGAAGAAGGGCGAUUUUUGGUCUGUGACCAUCAUAGCAUUCGUGCAGGCUGCCGGGGUAUUCGAAGCAAUCGGAUUUGCUGGUAUGGAUUUAUAUUUGGAUUGGCUUGUUUACAAUGGACCGGACAUUAAAUAUUGGUUACAAAAGUGUCGGUGUGAACUUAACCAGUUGCCUAUGAGACAAUGGUCGAAGAAACAAAUACAAAAUGUCGUGUCAUUUCUAAUAUUUAUCACUCUGUCCGUGCGAUCUGACCUAGUGGCGGUCCUCGCUGUUAGUGCACCAUUGGUUUCCAUGAAACUGUCGAGUCGUGCAAUAAGGCAAGACCAUGGCAUCGCGGACGGGGAGGCAUUUAAAGCAAAUAUGAAGCGGGCGCUAAACUUAUUCUACGGCGCAGCAUUUGCUCACGGCGCCAUAUCCGCAUUGUGGAUGACGGCUCAAGCGGGGGCUAAUACGUGGAUCGAGGUUAUUGUCAGCGACCAACAUGGUUUCAGCCCCAAGGUAAUUCGUGCAUAUUUGCGCAAAACUAAAGACAUGUGUCUAAAGAACAAAACGUCUGCAACAAGCUGGAAUUUGAUCACAUAUGGUGCCGGCUUGCUGGAUUCCAGCUUACCAGAAGAAUAUGCGGCUGGAGGGAGGGUACUAACAAUGCUGAUUGAUAAGGAUGUACCAUUACAGGUAAGACGGCUGCUGAUCAGGUCACCCAGACAAAGAAUUCAGAAGCUGAUCGGCACCCUUGCUUGGAGAAGCCCAGCCGACCAAGAGAUGAUAUGGCUUGCAGCGAGAAUUGUGGAGCAUCUCGCUAGCGACCUCAACCUUGCUCACUUUCCAGGAGCAUUGGAAUGCAUAUCCUCCCUCCUCAACCACAAAAUUCUCCAUUUACCAUUUGUACCUGGGCAAAGGGAGGAUGGUGAAGGAAUUGAUAAGGAUCUUCUUUUGCCAGGCUUGAGAAUUCUAGAGAAUCUGGCGCAUGACACAACUAACUGCACACUGAUAUACAACUCCAAGGGCCUUCUUUCAAAAAUUGUUGCACCUGUCAGCUCCAACGAAUUUGUAGAAGAUAUCAAGAGCAGCGCUGCAUGGAACAAGGUAGCAGAUGGGUCACUGAAAGUGGUUAGCCGCCUCAUGGGUUCUUCAGGACGCACCGGCAAAAACAUGUGCAGACUAAUUGCAAACAAUCGUAAUGCAGUCAAAAACUUGGAGGUUGUUCUGGAAAUGGAUAUUAAGAGCAACAGUGGUAUCAUAGAGCUACAGAUGCGAGCUAUAGAGGUUCUUACACAACUAGCCUUGCAUCAUCCAGCAAGUGCUUCUUUUAUGAUGCGAAGAGAAAAACUUAUUGAGAGGGCGUUACACAUCUUCCUUGCUGCAGAUUGGAUGGAAGAUUAUUUGAAAGAUGAAAAAAAGAAGAUUGAGAAACCAACUCUAAGCCAAAAAAACACUUCGCCAAUACCGUCAAUGGGAAGAUGUAUUGAUAAUCUCAUUAAAAAGGUCAAAGAGAAGAGGGCCAAACAAGCAAGAGAAACGCGUGUGGAAAAGAAGAUGAAAGAAGUUCAGAAAACUGCAAGCCGUCUUAAAGAAAAGGCAGGUGAAGCAUUGGCCAUGCUGUCCAGUGAUUCAGAGGCUAUCAAGAGCUUCACAGGAUGCGAUGAUGAUAUCCAUCGUCUUACUGAAUUGCUCGACUGCAAUAUCAAGAGCAUCAAAUGCAAAAUAAGUACAGCUGAUACUGUGGAAAUAGAUAUCAACACGGAUUGUCGUAUUAGCGCAGGAGUCAUCUUGAAGAAUUUGAGCAACUACGUCAAGGCACCAACCUUACGGAAGGUAUUUGGAGAAUUGAUUCGAGUAGAACAAGACGAGCCUUUCACUUCAGGGAACCACAACAAGCAGUGUGGGGAUAGGAUUCUGCAAACGGAGCUGUUAUCACUCGUCGCAGCAAUUCGUGCAAACAACAAUCUUAAUCUUGCAGGAAUCUUACUUUCGCAGACGCCGCCGGAUACCCUGGAAGACUUUGUGAUGAGGCUGAAGAAGAUGGUGGAGGACAACAUGUAUGCCACCCCUGCAUGCCUGGCGAUACAAAAGCUUACUUGUGAGCUGGUUAUAGAAUUCAUCAAGCAUGAUCGAAAUGUCGAAAUGAUAGACAGACACAAUAUCAUUGCCACAUUACUGGAGGCUUCAGAGGUGAUGGACUGUGUUGAGAGCAACAUGCUUUUCGCUGGUGUUGAUCGUGACUGCUACGGGGUUCCUCUGAAGCCUCUUUCUUCUGUUCUUGCUAAAAAUGCUGAAGAUCUUUUGGCACAGAGGAAACAGGCUCUGGGUAUCACUAUCAACAUUGUGCCUGCCAGUGCACCAAUACCGUGA
rnacentral:rRNA from 1 species